CUGAGUGGAAAUCGGCUGGCCCCUUGCGCGCUCAGCCAAGGCGAUGAACAGUUGCGAGGACUUUCUGAACGGCUUGGCCCACUUGAGGUAGAAAGCAAGAGCCCGCCUCACAUUGAGUGUGUGGAGACGGCGCUCCUCACUAGUCGCGUGAGGCUUGGGGCAGAGGACUGGUAGAAAAAUAUCCUGACCCAUGUGCUAGGCGGAGACCACCUUCAGGAGGAACGCGGGGACUCUGCUGAUCAGCGGGAACGGGGGAAAGGUGUAGAGACGCUGGCCUGACCAGGACAGGAUAAAGGCCCAGGGCAGUGCAUGUGGACAGGAGGAGAGCCACGUGAUCCCUCACCUGCAACCUGGAGGUGCCCUUGACCAGCCAGUCAUCCAGAUAGGGGAAUAUCUGGACCCCCCGGCACCUGAGCGCCUUCCCGUCAAAAGGGAGAUCCUGCAUUGAUGACUGCACUUCGCUGGAUAGCCCAGAGAGCAGGAGCCAUGGACACCGCCGAGACCAUGGACCAUGCAGUCGUGUCCGCUGCAUCCGAAGUGGCCUGCAGGGAUGCCCUUUGGCCACUGCCCCUUCGUCCACGAGUGCCUUAAACUCUUUUCUAUUGUGCUCCU